UACGUAGGUGGCAAGCGUUGUCCGGAUUUACUGGGCGUAAAGCGUGCGCAGGCGGACUCUUAAGUAGGAAGUGAAAGGUUGGAGCUCAACUCUAACACUGCUCCCUAUACUGGGGGUCUUGAGUGCCGGAGAGGAAGACGGAACGACACGUGUAGCGGUGAAAUGCGUUGAGAUGUGUCGGAACACCAAUGGCGAAAGCAGUCUUCUGGACGGAUACUGACGCUCAGGCACGAAAGCCAAGGUAGCAAACAGG
rnacentral:rRNA from 1 species